CGCCUAAUCGACGUCCUAGGUUGCGCAAUCUAAUGCGAAUAUAAUCGGGGAGAUCGAUAAUUACGUAAAGCCCGAUGUGUUCGGUAGGAACGAUGGAUUAGAAACGUUGUCCUGACAGGGAUCGAAUAUCUGUGUAACAAGAUGGUUGUUGGUAACCAGCUGGUUUGCGUGAUGGAGUUAAUAAUUUGAUGGAAAUUAGUUGGGUUAUGUUGUUUGCUACGAGUGUACGAUAAAUAAGGAAUUUUUUUAUACUCUUUCUGGUGUAGAAAAAAGUAGGAUUUCUAAUGCAUUUUGUUGUCGUUUUUGCUCGUCUGUCGGUCUGAUUGCGGUUUAAUAAUAAUUGUUAAUUUGUUAUUUUGUCCUGGAAGAGAUUGAAUUUGUUGUGGGACGCGAUGGUUUCGCGUGGCAGAGUUAAUAAUUGGAUGGAAGUCGGUUGAGGUUAUGUUGCUCGCUUGAGAGGUUGUCAGGGGGCCAGGUGGAAGGAAGGAAGAACGGAAGGAAUGUGCGACGAGUCGUGACCGGCGGAAGGCGGCCAGUCGACGAUACAUUUCCGGCAGGCAGGCCACUUGGAGCAAGUUUGCCCCUUGGUCGUGGACAAUACUGUGGGCGAGGACCGCUCGUUACACGCUACAUGGCCACGAAGGAUAUGGACAGACGAGCGGCCUCCGAGCAGUUGGCAUUCGUGACACGCACCAUCGAUGACACGAACCGCCAUGGGAUCCGAGCGAAUUACGAUUCUCCAUGGGCGCAUUUAUGCCCCGGAAUCGAUGACGAACCACCACCGUGUUUAAGGCGUACGUGUCGAAACGCUUGAGCCAGGAUAUGUCGUUCUUGUUGGAAUUUUAUCGAAGCAAGAAGGAGGUGGGGAGGGAGGGGGAAUUGAAUAGAUUCCAAGGGAUGAUUAUACGAUAUGGAAUCCCUUUAGAUUUUCCUGAUGCGAGUCUUUUGAAAAAGAUGAAAUAUAAAGUGAAUAUAAAGUUGAUCAAUUCUUUCCCCCCUAUCGAUCAACGAGUUUGAUUUUGUUACAGAACAUUUCCAUUUUCGUCACAAUGAUCGACCUCGAUGAACAAACGCGCGUAAAGAACAACUGAAGCGAAGAAAGAAAUUAUUUCGAUGGUUUCGAAAUAGCCGGAAAUAGGAUUUCGAAUAAAUUAUGGUUAAUCGAACGUAGUUCCUCGAAUCAUGUAUGAGCCAUGCGAAUAUUUCAAACGCUUCAUUAGAAUGAUUCAAUCUUGUGAAAAAGGGAUAGAAAUCGUCCGCUUUAUCGUAUUAAAUAUCAUUUUUUGAGGUUAGGUUAAGAGUAAAGUUCCGUGACGGUGGAAAAGAAUUCUAUUUUUCGAUUGAUUAAAUUUUAUACUAAAAAUUUUCGAAAUCUCGAAUUUUUUCAUUUUUUUAAACGGAAAUAUUUCGAAAAUUGUUAUUCAUUCAAUUGGAAAUCUCCUUUAUCCGUAUAAAAUAAGCAUUUUUAUAUACAUCAACUUCACUUGACUUUUGAAAAUUAUAUUAUAUCUGUAUUAUACACAUUCAUAAAAAUUUUACGUUGAAACGUUCAAUUUCAUCAUGUUUGGCAAACUCGGCGUAAACGAAAAAAACAACAUUCGUACGUGAAAAGUUGAGUUUUGGAAUCAUGGCCCCUUUUUAUCAAAAGGUUCGAGAUGAAAAUUCCGAUAUCGAACAAAGUAAUAAAAUUUAUAUCCACGUAACACAUACCUGAUACGUAUUCAUAAUGCAGUAAACUCUAUUAUGCUGUCUACCCUCGUUACAGUUCAUUAUUGACAUAUAAUCAAUGAUCUACAAUGACAUAGGAUACGUACGAACGUAUUAAGCGAUAUACAGCUGUAACUAUAGGAAUAUUGCUGUUCGAGGAAGAGAAUAUAAUAAAUGAAAUCACUUUCAAGUAGAUUUAAAUUGAUAAAUUGAUGAAAUCGUUGAGUUAAUCCUUCAAUUUUAAAUUCACGAUUAUUUAUAUCCGUCAAAUGAUAAAAAAAAAAAAAGAAAUAUAUAUUAUACAUCGA